rnacentral:rRNA from 1 species
CGUGUAGGCGGUUGGGUAAGUCAGAUGUGAAAGCCCUGGGCUCAACCCAGGAAGUGCAUUUGAAACUACCCAACUUGAGUACGGGAGAGGAAGGGGGAAUUCCCGGUGUAGAGGUGAAAUUCGUAGAUAUCGGGAGGAAUACCGGUGGCGAAGGCGCCCUUCUGGACUGAUACCGACGCUGAGACGCGAAAGCGUGGGGAGCAAACA